rnacentral:lncRNA from 1 species
AAAAUAAUAAAUUAAUAAUAAAUUUGAUAUAUUACAUAUAAUAAAUAUAUAUGAAUAUAAUCUUAAUAAUUGAGUCUUGUAACUCUCAUCUCUUUCCUAACCUUUGUUACGUUCUUUGACGUCGAAGAAUAAGAGAAAAGAAAAUAAGGUGAAGACUCGAUUAACUUAAAAAAUUAUGCGUAAUCACUAGAAUCUCCUGCAAAGUAUUAUAUCAAGGGCAUAUCAAGGGUUUUAAGUGAGAGAACAGAUAGAGUGACAAAAAAAAAAAAAAAAAAAA